AUUGAACGCUGGCGGCAGGCCUAACACAUGCAAGUCGAGCGAGCGGCGGACGGGUGAGUAAUGUAUGGGGACUGCCCGAUAGAGGGGGAUAACUACUGGAAACGGUGGCUAAUACCGCAUACUAUCGGAUAACCCAUAUGGGAUUAGCUAGUAGGUGGGGUAAAGGCUCACCUAGGCGACGAUCUCUAGCUGGUCUGAGAGGAUGAUCGGCCACACUGGGACUGAGACACGGCCCAGACUCAUAGGGAGGAAGCAGUGGGGAAUAUUGCACAAUGGGCGCAAGCAUGAUGCAGCCAUGCCGGGUGUAUGAAGAAGGCCUUAGGGUUGUAAAGUACUUUAGACAGGGACGCGGUACCUGUAGAAGAAGCCACGGCUAACUACGUGCCAGCAGCCGCGGUAAUAC
rnacentral:rRNA from 1 species